GAUGAAGAAAUGCAGCGAAAUGCGAUACGUAAUGUGAAUUGCAAAUUCAGUGAAUCAUCGAGUCUUUGAACGCACAUUGCGCCCCCUGGUAUUCCGGGGGGCAUGCCUGUCCGAGCGUCAUUGCUGCCCUCAAGCACGGCUUGUGUGUUGGGCCCCGUCCUCCGAUCCCGGGGGACGGGCCCGAAAGGCAGCGGCGGCACCGCGUCCGGUCCUCGAGCGUAUGGGGCUUUGUCACCCGCUCUGUAGGCCCGGCCGGCGCUUGCCGAUCAACCCAAAUUUUUUAUCCAGGUUGACCUCGGAUCAGGUAGGGAUACCCGCUGAACUUAAGCAUAUCAAUAAGCGGAGGA
rnacentral:misc_RNA from 1 species